rnacentral:siRNA from 1 species
GAAACCCGUAAUCCCUCCGUACC